GGAUCACUUUGAGAGAAUUUGCACAAACAUCCUCUGAAAAUUUACUGUACCUUUUUAUCUUCCAGCUCUGAGGAAGAGUACAGGAAGCAGAGAAAUGUCUCCAAAGCAUCAACACUGAAACAGCUUCAGUGGAACCCAGUUGGGCCUGGAGCCAGGUUCUCACCUGACUGAGAUCAGAGCUGAUGGGACUGAGCUCCUAGAAGCAGCUGUUUAGGGUUUCACUGCAAAUUGUCAGAAGUCCCAGAGCUGGAGAAUUUUCUUGGAAGUUCUCUUGUGUUUAUCCAGAAGUGGAGAAGGUGUCUCUGCCUUUCAGUAGAAAAGCUAAAGUGUACCUGGAUGAACUGAAAGCUAAAGAGCACAUCAGAUUUUAG
rnacentral:lncRNA from 1 species